AGGAAUUGAAAGUGCAUUCCAGACUGAUGACUCAGCGCUGCCGCGGCGGGGAGGGGAGCCGGCUGAGCUGCCCUCCCGGGAAGGUCCCUGGGAUCGCUCCCCUGAGAGGCAGAUAAGAUGGGUGGGGCACGGCUGGAAGGGAAAUUCUUGGCCUGAGGAGCCCAGCUGCUGGCUGCCAUCCUUCUAGGCUUGGCUCAAGUGCCACCUCCUCCUUGAAGCCUUCGCAGAUUCCUCGUCUGCCUUCUGGACCAAGGAAGCGCCCCUGGGGGGCCUGGCUUCAUGCAGCCUCCCGUCAGACAUGGGUGAGUCCAGGCGUCCCAGGGAAGCUGGGGGGCUGGGUAUUUUGGUAUUUUGGGAGAGCCUUCAGGAAAGUGAUGAGCCAUGCCACCAGGCAUGUCCACUGCCAGAAGCGGUGCAUGCCUUUUGCUAAGCAGGGCCCUGCACCGGCCUGGCUGGCUGGGCGGGCCUGGGGCUCCGCUUCCCACUGAGUCUGGCGGGGCUCAGGGCCUGUUCCUGGAGGUGCCCCGAGCCUGAGCCUGCAGGCGGGGGGCUCUUCCCUGUGUGAGCUCACUUAAUCCUUGAAACCACCUUUGAGUCAGGGGCAGCCCGAUUUUGGGCUUCACGCCCUUGGGUCCACCCUCCCCACAUGGAAGUGGCCGGUCUGAGUUACCAGGGGGAGGCUUUGGAAGUAGAGGAGGACAGGGCCUUGAGAACGCCUUGGACUGGAUGUCACCUGCUCUGGGGAAGCGGGGUGCCAGGCCGUGAGGACACACAAGCUGCGUGAGCAAGGAAACUACAGGGCCUAGAACCGCCAGCUGGCCUUCAGACGCAGUGAGGUACACACUCUGUGCUGGUUCUAACCUCCCGUUUGGAAGUGGUUUGUUAUUACUGCUCAGAAGCUGAGGCCCAGUGUGGCUCCAUGACUUACCCACGGAACAUGCUAGAAGGAGACGGAAGCAUGGAUUUGGACCUGCGUGUCCAGGUGCUGAGCUGCCCUCACCCGGACCCUGCAGCCGCUCAGGUCCUUGAUAGACACUCAGGGGGCCUCUGGUCCAGUCACACCAGCUGCUUAGGAAGGUGAGAGCUGGAGGUGGUCCCAAGUCCCAGAUCUCGUGGGAAAGUGCCAGGUAGGCCCUGGGCCCCGGCCUGGGCGAGACCCUGAGUGGCUGCUUCCUGCCCACACCAGCUUUGCCAGCGGGAGUCUGGACGGGGAGGAAGGGAUUAUUUAUAAUCUGUUAUCUGCUUGGACAAUGCUCUGUAACUCAGGGGAGGACCCAAGACUUGGUGAUGGGGGUGCUGGCAGGAGCCACGGGCACGAGGGGCCGUAGUAUGCAUUCAUGCCAGACCCUGACCGCAUGUUUAAUUUCUCUCGAGAUGCCGUAGGUUUUCGUGUCCCUGAUUGUAAGAUCCCUCAUCGUUUAAGCCAGGUUGGGCUGAGUUUCCUUCCCUGAAGCUGAAAACAUCCAGCCGAGGACUAUCAGGAGGCAGGGGCUGGUGGCUUUAUUUUGGAUUCUCUGGGCGCUGGGCUCACUGUGAUCAUAGCUGGACACAGAGGUUUGAAGGGCUGAGCUCAGCACUGUCCUAGCCUUAUGGGAAAGUCAUAAGAAUGGUGCCAUGAAUGGAUGUGACCCCUUCCUCUCUCAUGUCCCCGGCUGCAUGCUCCAGGGUCCGCCGAGUCCGUCUGUCCUCUAGCCAUCAUCAGUCUGACAGCCAAUCUCUGUCAUUCAUCUAUCAUCUCCAUUCCCCAACCCCAACCACUAAGAAUAAGCUGCAGAAGUCAUGCCAGUUCACCCCACGUUCCACGGCACCUCUGGACAUACAGGGGGUUUUCCUGCGCCCCCAGGGCAGCAUCACCCGGAUCGGUCCUGGGUGUCGUGGUUUGGGUGGAGCCUUCCAGACGCUUCCGCCUGCCCUCCCCGGAACAGCCCCUCGGAUGCUUCUCCACGACAAUGACGUUCUGAGAUCAGAGGAGGUGUUCAUGGAUUGCCUCGCCUUCCAGAUGCGUCCCUGUGCUUCCUCGAGGCUGAGCCAGACAAGACACGCUGGCAGGAGUGCGGCAGGUGAUGCUGUGAGCUUCUGGCAGCAAGACGCACACAUUCCCGUUUGUUCUGAACGUUUCUUUAGCCAUUUUUUGAUCCGUCUGACAUGGAUUUAGUGUUGGCGGUAAAGUGGAUUUCAUCAGGUCAAUUUUCUAAACUGUCUUAUUGAAUAAACAGGCUUGUGGUUCCCGA